AUGGAGAACACAUCAAGAAUGAAGCAAAAACAAAAAGAACUAGUGUUGGAAUUUAGAACACCUCAACAUCCAUCUUUGGGCACAAAUUAUUGGGGAGGUGCAUCACCUUUAUUAGCAAGGAAUAUACCCGAGGAAUCACUUGAACAAAGUAUCGAUUACAAACAAUACUCCUUGUUCUCUACUUUCAAUCAUAUUAAAUAUUAUAUACAAUUAGAAGCACUUGGCCAAAGAGUUGAUUUGAAUCAAAGAUCACAAAGAUGA